GACGAACGCUGGCGGCGUGCUUAACACAUGCAAGUCGAACGGAAAGGCCCUGCUUUUGUGGGGUGCUCGAGUGGCGAACGGGUGAGUAACACGUGAGUAACCUGCCCUUGACUUUGGGAUAACUUCAGGAAACUGGGGCUAAUACCGGAUAGGAGCUCCUGCUGCAUGGUGGGGGUUGGAAAGUUUCGGCGGUUGGGGAUGGACUCGCGGCUUAUCAGCUUGUUGAUGGGGUAGUGGCUUACCAAGGCUUUGACGGGUAGCCGGCCUGAGAGGGUGACCGGCCACAUUGGGACUGAGAUACGGCCCAGACUCCUACGGGAGGCGGCAGUGGGGAAUAUUGCACAAUGGGCGGAAGCCUGAUGCAGCAACGCCGCGUGCGGGAUGACGGCCUUCGGGUUGUAAACCGCUUUCGCCUGUGACGAAGCGUGAGUGACGGUAAUGGGUAAAGAAGCACCGGCUAACUACGUG
rnacentral:rRNA from 1 species